CUGUUCGAAUUGGAUCAGUGGCCAGUGGUAUACGCGCGCGGCGCCGUGCGGUCGGCCGCUUAUCGACUCGACAUUUUCGAUAGCCGUGUUGGAACGCACGCGUCUUUAUAUUAUCUGUACUGUAUAGUGUUUUUUUUUCUGUUUUGUGCACUAUUUUUUUUUAAGUUCACGCCGCUGGACGCGGGAAAUGAACAGAUGAGCCCAUAUUUACUCAUCUUUGGACGUUAUUACUUCAUAAUUAAGAACUGUGGCUUUAUUCAUCGGUUAUGGAAUGAUUGUUAUUUGAAGAUAUGAGGGUAAGCUUUGAAAAUUCACUACGUGAAGACAUUAAGUUAUUUUUAACCUACUUGAAAAAUAAGGAGAUUAUUUCGAUUUUUUUUUAUGUCUGUUACCUCUCAAUUCUGUCAGUUGUAAACCAUUUAGGAGAAUUAUUUUUUUCUAAAAAGAUAUAUUUACAGAUUGGUCCAAUAAAAAUUUUAUUUCAGUUCAUUAGUUUAAUUUUAAAUUAAAAAAAAAAAAACUGGUUUUGGUGAAUUAAUUAAUAUUAUAUAAUUUUGUCCAUAUACUGAGUAGUAAAUGUAUAAUGGUAAUAAAUAACAUUAUGGCAACCCUUUUCACGCACACAUGGAUAAAAGAAUUGACCUGUUUUUGGUAAAUCUUUUGUAUGGAGACGUUCUAUCAAUAUAAGACUGAAGACGGAGUUUGUCCGAAGAUCCUAACGUGUUUUUUUUAUAUAAGAUUAAAUCUUCUCUGAAUACGUCUAAAGAGAGGAACUGCUGGUUAUAAUAAUUGCAGGCUUUUAUAAGAUUAGGUACUCAAGUAAUUCGUGUGUAAAAAAGAUAGAUAGAUACUUUUUAUUGUUUCCUCCAAAAGAUUACAAUAGUAAACUUAUUAAAAAUAUAAACAAUUACAAGAAAUAAAAAAAAGGUAUACUAAAUAAGUUGUUAGUUCUACAAUUUAUCCGGGGAAUAUAUAUACAUACAUAUAUAAAGCAAUACGUUUACAGAGUGUUGGCAAUUUGUACGGCGAAAUAAGGUUUACCGCAAAAAAGAUCUGUGAGACCGCAAAAAAAUACUAACAGACCCACACUAGUCCCCCGUGAGCCGUGAUGGACAGGAUAGGGCCCGGAGAUUACGAGCUAAUCCCAUAUUAUAAAGGCUUCUUACUGAAUUAUAAAACGUACUGGCUGACAAAUCGUUGUUUUGCUCCUCACCGCCAUCUAAUGGGUCCGUUUUUGCAACCGACUUAAAAAAAAAGGACCAUAUUUUCGGUUCCAAAUUCCAAAAAUUCGGACAAAAUUCGGUGAUAUUGUUUUUUAAGUUUAUUACCUCAAAACUUUGUCAGUUAUAAAGCAAUUUGGAAAAUUCUUUUUUAUUUCAGGAUUGGUCCCAUAGAAAGUUUAUCAAAACUUUAUUUUUGUAAAAAAAAGUUUUAAAUUAUCUUCUUAUCAAGAUAAAACUAUUCUAUCACUAAGUUGGAGUAAACAAUACAUAAUUGGAAAAUUCCGCUUAAAUCAAUCGUGCUUAGAUUAGCGUGAACAGACAUCGUGAUAUGGGAAUUUUGCUUGAUUAACAUUAUAGAUUAACCCUAUGUUAAGGAAAGUGGCCGAUUUAAUAUAUGUUAGCACAAGUGGAAGCGAAAAAGAUCCCAUAAAAGAAGUUUGUAUCUCAAAAUGGUACGGACUCACCUUGACUGCAGAUUUAGCGUAAGCGGUACACGCUCAGGAUGCACAAGGAUUCAGGAAGUCACGCCACGUGAAUGUCACAAUGGCGCUGAUCUAUUCUGGUCCACUCGUGAAAACCACACUAUAUAUGUUAGGUAAACAAACACUCGCGACACUUGGGAAAGAUAAUAGGGAAUGUCCAGGGGGUUCACGAGUUCUCCACACAGUAAAUAGGCACACAACAGCAACCCGUUGCAGAGUGUUACGCGGUAGACGUUGGACUGGGGCCGACCAUUUGUCUGUUCAUCUUAUGUCAGGGGAAUCGAUAGAAUAUUACGCGAUUGGACGGUAUUACGAUAUUUAUAGGGAUGUGACUUUCUUAAAUACCCUAAAUAUAUAAUUAAUAUAUAACUAAUUAUGAUUUAGAAGUAUUCCUCAUCAUCACCAUAUCAGCCUCUAACUGCCCACUGCUGAACAUAAGCCUUUCUUUGGGGGGUUUUGCCAGUAGCUGCCACGCUUGGCUGGCGGGUUGGCAAUCGCAGUUAAGCUUUAGAGUUGUUUUUAAAGGGACGCUGCUGCUCAUCCCUCGCCCUCGCUUAGUCACCACUUACGACACCCACACGAAAGGAAGAGAUGGCCUAUUCUAUGCCGGGACUUAGAGGUGUUAAAAUAUAGAAAUUUAGUUUUAAAAGCUAACUUUUCUGACGCAGUACAGGAUGACCUUCCCACUAGAUGGAGUGACGACCUGAAAUGCAUUGCAGGGCAAAAUAUGUACCGUCCAGCGUAUACCGACAGCGGAAGCGAUAUUGCCGUUCCAUAAUCAUCCAUGAAAAAAAAGACCUCGACUUGUUCAUAAACUCCAAAGCGUAUGUCUUGGACCAAGCGACUCAGCCUUCACGGAUCGAUCUCUCAUUAAAAGUAUUUUUGGAAGUAGAUUAAUAUUUUUUGGCAGCAUCUCAACAUGAAGACGAAUGAAACAUCGCAGGCGUCGCUUACUGUAUUUGAGAUAUUUCAUAUCGUUCAAUAUUGAUUUUCUAACGAUAUUUUACCGAUAUCAAAUAAAUGAUGUUAUUGUGUAAAACAUUGAUAAGUCCAAACAUGUAGCAACUAAUUUUAUACCACAUUUUGUUGACCAAUAAAGUUUAAAUCAAUAAAUAAAUAAUCCAUAAGUGGGAGUACACGGAGAGCAGUGGGAACAUAAUGAAAAUUAUUGAUCCAUACGAACGAAUUAUCUUUUCUUUUCCGUGGGUGUCGUAGGAGGUGACUAAAGGACUAAUGGUCGAGGGAUGGGCAGCAGCGUCCCUCUUAAAACAUCACCAAAAUCUUUUUUUUUUAUACAAUUCAAAAUGACAAACAAGCUGACGGCCCACCUGAUGAAAAGUGGUAACUGUCGCCUAUAGACAUGAGCAGUACCAUGGACAUAACAGAGUGUACUGUUUCGCCCAUGAUACCCCCCAUGCGUUGCUAUUCCUGAGGACUCAGAUGUUAUUCCUCUGUACCGUGUAAAUUCACGCCAUAUCCCACCUUUCAAACCGAAACACAGUCAUGCAAACACAACUGUUUCACGGUAGAAACACGAAUGGGACAGAGGUACCCAAGCAAUCGACUUUUGUACAAAGUCUCCCUAUGGUAAAACUAACUGUAAUUGCUAAUCUGCCUGACAAACGUGGUAACUAAUUAAAAACUGUCCCUUAUGAAAAAGACCUAUGUUCAACAGUGGACUGUUAACGGUUUAUACAAAAUAAUUAUAAUAAAGAUAAAGAUAAACGGAAACCGAAAUUUACGAAUUUAUGAAUAAUAUUAUGUUACAUUUGAAUAUAAUAGGCAUCAACGUUUUCUAAUCUCCAAAACGUAUACUUGGCAAGUGGAAAAAAUAUCAUUUCCUAAGACGCAUUGUUUGACAAGACAUUACUGAGCGCCCAAUAUGAAAAAUUACAAGGGCAAAAUUCAAUUUUCGCAAGUGGAAAGGCAACGUCGGCCCCGGAGAUGAAUAUGUAGCUAUCCCUUAAUAUAAACAGUGUGCCAAUUUUGUAAGACAUCAAACUGCCUUUUUUCGAAAGCAUCGAAUUAUGACUCGACUUAUUUUAGGCUGUGGUAUUGAGAUUUGUAACUCUCAAUUACUUAUGUGAGCCUAGUAUAUGAAACUCGAUGCAAUGCCUGUAUUUAAUUGGAAUAAAACCUUUUUAGUUGUAGUAACGACCUUCAAGGAUCUAUGUGCUCCUAGUAUUGAGUCUAUUGUGCAAGUGGUUAUUUGAUUUUAUUUUGUUACUUUACAUAUUAGCCGUCAAUCUCUGACUGCCAUUUUGUUCACGCACGUUUUGCGACACGUGUUUUACUUCUAAAGAGGCAUCUUCAGGCAAAUUAUUAGAUUCGGAGUCAAGUGUCAAUCUUUGUACACCCAAACAUUUUGAUGCAUUCUGUAUCAAAAUGUCCGCAAGACAAUGCCUAAAUCAGUAAAAUAACUAUAUAGCUUUCUUAUGACACAUUUAUAUAUGGCAAACAACAUGACCGCCCACCUGAUGGAAGGCAGUAAGCGUCGCCCUAAGAACAAGUAAUUACAUAGAAGGAGUGAUAAAAUUAUCAAUUCACAGCAGGCUAGUGUAUAGAAAAUGUUACCCUACCAAAUUCAGAUACAACCUGCUUGCAUACUUCCUACAUAAACUGUUUCCUCCAUAAAAUUACAAUAGUAAAUUUAUUAUAAAUAUAAAUAAUUACAAGAAGAUAUUACACUAAGAAAAGAAUGGGCGGCCUUAUCCUUAAGAGCGAUCUCUUCCAGGCAACCUUUGGAUGGAGAAGAGUAAUUAUAAACAUUAUGACUGGAGGCACGAAACUCUGUUCGUUUUUAAAUACAUAUAAUGUAUACAUACAUACAAAUUCAUACAUAUACGUAUAUAAUAAUCUGAGACAAAUACAAUGAUAAUGGAAUAGUAACCCUGCUUGUGCUAUUGGUGUAUGAUGGCGAGACAGUAAUGGGUGACGACUGAUAAGAAUGAAUACAGGUCACAUUGCCCAUUGUAAUCAUCAUGAUGAUCUCCAGAGGGGACUGGAUAAAGGUCAACUGGAUAAAGGUCAACUGGAUUCAGUCUGCUAUCAAUAUAGGCUAUAUUUUAUAAGGGGCCACUUAUCCCCAUUACUAACGAUCUCUUCUUCCAACUAAAGAAAUUUGCUCCGCCUAGUUUAAGAGUCGUUCAAGUAACAUACGCUACGCUAUUAAAUAGUAUGUUUAAAAGUUCCCCAAUACUGUGUUGCCCUUUACAAACCCUAACUAGAACCGAGUUAUUUCGCGCGCUACAGAAAUAGACACCCGCUUUUAUCCCACUAAAUAUAAAAUGCCGUCCAUGACAUUAGAAUUGUCUGUAUAGUAUAAGAUCCCGUUGUUAAUUUCUGUAGGUAUGAGACUUUUUAAUGAAACUUAGUUUAAAUGAAAGAUAAGCGAAAAUAUAAUUCUGACGCAGAGUUGCCAGAUGAAAAUAGGAAAUAAUUGUGGUAAAUAUGUUAAAGUCAUCAUAGUUUUCGAUACGAAAAAGAUUUACAAAAUAUAAAAAAUGGUCGUGAGUAAGGGUUGCUAGCAUCUAAUAUGUAGUCCUAGAUGAUUGUGAUGUAGUUACAGAAAAUCGGUUGUAUUUGAUUAAACUUACUGAUUUCUAUUCAAUUAAACUAAUUGGAAGUUUAUUCUUGUCUAUAUGACAAAAUAAGGUUGCCUGUAAAUAAGGGUUGGCUUCUAACAAUUCUAGGUUGCAACUAACUGAGGACAAACAACUGGGGCACAUUGGAGGGAAAGGGAUUGUUAGUAAUGGAGUUUAAAAUCUCUACUUCUAACAAUAUACCAUAUGUUACCAUAUGAAACCAUCAUGGUUUUUUAUUGUUGAAUUUGUCACGAUGGACCAUCUGACCUACUUCAUUCUUGCCUAUUAUCUCUCAUUUUUGCUUUGCCAGUGUAUUCUGAUAACGCAGGCGGAGUCACUAUUUUAUUUUCACCCAUUAUACUUGGGUAUAUUUUAUUACAUUUUAGCUCAUCUUUCAUUUAAAUCAAGUUUCAUUAAAAAGUCUUAUAUCUACGUAAGUUAGUGGCUGUAUCUCGGACUAAUAUUAAGAGAACUGGAGUGAAUGUAACCUUAUUGGUGUUUGUAAACCGUAUGCUCAAAGUAAAAUAAAUAUUCUAUUACCCGGAUCUUUUAAGAGACGGAUUUGUUUUAAAGCAAUCACUAUUUAUUUAUGUAUAUCACGCAAAGCACGGGACGAAGACCUGUUGUUAUUAUGUUUUUUUAUUUCUUUUUUAAUUUGUGCAUACGACAAAUUCUGUUCUUUUCAUUUUUUUCUUUUACUUUCUUUUAUGGCUUCUUUAGCAGGAAAAUUGGCGUUCCAUUGUUUCUGCCUAACUUUAUGGGCGAUAGACCAGUAUUUUAACUGAAAUUCUUUAAUAGGUCCAUUCAUCAUCGUCAUCAUAUCAGCUUUUAAUUGUCCACUGCUGAACUUAAGCCUCCCUCAGGGGAUUUUGCUAGUAGUACCCACGCUUGGCAGGCCGACUGGCAACCGCAGUUAGGCUUUGGAGAUGUUUUAAGAGAGACGCUGCCGUCCAUUCUUCGCUUUCCCUUUUACGACACCCCCGGGAAAGGAAGGGGUGGCUUAUUCUAUGCCGAGACCACGCGGUCUUUGUAAUGUACGGUAAUGGUGCAUUGUUUACCACAAAAUAAACAAUUUUAAUCAAUUGUUUCAAAUAUGAAUUGUUAGCAAUUUAGUUACUUAAUCCAACCGCAGAUUUCAAUGUUCGCCGUUCGCUUUCUAAGAAGUCGAGUUAGUAAAUACUAUUGAUAUUUUGUAAUCGAAUUUGACUGUAUUUUGUUUGUAAUGCAACGUGGGAGUUAACUUUUCCGAUAAAACAAAAUAUACACAUAAAAUUGGCAAAAAGCGUAAAAUCCUUCUACUAAUG